rnacentral:rRNA from 1 species
GACGAACGCUGGCGGCGUGCUUAACACAUGCAAGUCGAACGGAAAGGCCCUGCUUUUGUGGGGUGCUCGAGUGGCGAACGGGUGAGUAGCACGUGUGUAACCUGUCCUUGACUUUGGGAUAACUUCAGGAAACUGGGGCUAAUACCGGAUAGGAGCUCCUGCUGCAUGGUGGGGGUUGGAUGGUUUCGGUGGUUGGAGAUGGACUCGCGGCCUAUCAGCUUGUUGCUGGGGUAGUGUCUUACCAAGCCUUGGACGCCUAGCCGGCCUGAGAGGGUGACCGGCCACAUUGGACCUGAGAUGCGACCCGGACUCCAACGGGAGGCAGCGGAGGAGAAUAGUGCACAAUGGAAGGAAGCCUGAUGCAGCAACGCCACGUGCGGGAAGACGGCCUUCGGGUAGUAAACCACUUUCGCCUGUGACGAGGAGUGAGUGACGGUAAUGGGUAAAGAAGCACCGGCUAACUACGUG